rnacentral:rRNA from 1 species
CCUACGGGAGGCUGCAGUGGGGAAUAUUGGGCAAUGGAGGCAACUCUGACCCAGCAACGCCGCGUGAAUGAUGAAGGUCUUCGGGUUGUAAAGUUCUUUUCUACGGGGAGCAGAAGGUGACGGUACCUUCGGAAUAAGCCUCGGCUAACUACGUGCCACCAGCCGCGGGAAUACGGAGGGGGCAAGCGUUAUCCGGAAUGACUGGGCGUAAGGGGUGCGUAGGUGGUUUGACAAGUUAGUAGGGAAACGCCGGAGCUCAACUUCGGAAGUACUACUAAAACUGGUGGACUUGAGUGCAGGAGGGGGAAGCGGAAUUCGUAGUGUAGCGGUGGAAUGCGUAGAUAUUAGGAGGAACACCAGUGGCGAAGGCGGAUUGCUAGACUUUAACUGACACUGAGGCACGAAAGCGUGGGGAGCAAACAGGAUUAGAUACCCUAGUAGUC